CGUAACACGUCAAGUCUCGUAUAAGAUGGGCAAGGUCCUAUGAUAUUUCAGGUACAAAUAAGCCUAAGUUCUCCUUUCCUUUUUCGAAACAGCAUGUGGGGUGACCGGAGGUCCGGACCUUCCCUGAUUACCCGUAGAAUCGUAAGCGAGAGCCCUGGCGGAAGGAGAGUUGAGGUCAUUGAAGAAAGGAGCUGCGAGACCUUGGAUUGGGAGAAGAAGAUUACGUAGGGAGGCACGAUGAGGGCAAGUGUGCUUUGGGUGAAAAAUUUUCCUUCAAGUGAGGGUAAUCUUGUAGGAGUCUAUAAAUGCUAAGGAAACCCAAGA